rnacentral:rRNA from 1 species
GACGAACGCUGGCGGCGUGCUUAGCACAUGCAAGUCGAACGGAAAGGCCCUGCUUUUGUGGGGUGCUCGAGUGGCGAACGGGUGAGUAACACGUGAGUAACCUGCCCUUGACUUUGGGAUAACUUCAGGAAACUGGGGCUAAUACCGGAUAGGAGCUCCUGCUGCAUGGUGGGGGUUGGAAAGUUUCGGCGGUUGGGGAUGGACUCGCGGCUUAUCAGCUUGUUGGUGGGGUAGUGGCUUACCAAGGCUUUGACGGGUAGCCGGCCUGAGAGGGUGACCGGCCACAUUGGGACUGAGAUACGGCCCAGACGCCUACGGGAGGCAGCAGUGGGGAAUAUUGCACAAGGGGCGGAAGCCUGAGGCAGCAACGCCGCGUGCGGGAGGACGGCCUUCGGGUUGUAAACCGCUUUCGCCUGUGACGAAGCGUGAGUGACGGUAAUGGGUAAAGAAGCACCGGCUAACUACGU